rnacentral:rRNA from 1 species
AACGAACGCUGGCGGCAUGCCUAACACAUGCAAGUCGAACGUGAUCCGGGGCUUCGGCUCCGGUGAAAGUGGCGGACGGGUGAGUAACGCGUGGGAACCUGCCCAGUGGUAGGGGAUAACCGCGGGAAACUGCGGCUAAUACCCUAUGCGCCCUAUGGGGCAAAGAUUUAUCGCCAUUGGAGGGGCCCGCGUCGGAUUAGGUAGUUGGUGAGGUAACGGCUCACCAAGCCUUCGAUCCGUAGCUGGCUGAGAGGAUGAUCAGCCACACUGGGACUGAGACACGGCCCAGACUCCUACGGGAGGCAGCAGUGGGGAGUAUUGGACAAUGGGGGCAACCCUGAUCCAGCAAUGCCGCGUGAGUGAUGAAGGCCUUAGGGUUGUAAAGCUCUUUUCGGCGGGGGAAGAUGAUGACGGUACCCGCAGAAGAAG